AUUGAAUUGGAAAAAGUUAUUUUUCUAAAAGGGACUUUUAUAAAAGUGAGUUUUGAGUUCGAUUGUUUAAUUGACUAUAAAGCAAAAAAUAAAAAAUUAUAGUCAUAUAGUUUAGAUUGUUUAAUUUUUGGUUAUAUAUAAAGAAGUGAAAAUAGAAACAUACGAUUUAUGCUUAAAUUUAAAUUAAACAUAAGUCAUUUAAAUUUAAAUUUAAUAAAAUAUUUUUAAAAUUUAAACUUAUAUUUGAAUUUAAAAAUUAAUUUUUUAAUUUUAAAUCUUACAUCCAAGUUAAAUUCUAAUUAAAAUUUAAAACAUAAAAUUAAAUUUAUAAUUUGAAUUUAAAGUUUAAGUGAUAAUCAAAACUGAAAUUAAAUUCUAAAACUAAAUUUCAACUUAAAAAUUAAAUCUGAAUUCUAUAUUUGGCCGUUAAAUCCAGCUGCAAAUACUAUUCAAUUUUUAGCUGUUACAUCUACACUUUUGAUUAUUUCUAUCAUUGGAUCAAUAUAUACUAUUCCACUAAUUACCACUAAACUCUACAGGAGACCACUAAGCGCCCGUUUGGCCUAGAUUUUAGAAAGUGAUUUCUGAAAAAAUGAUUUUGGUUUGGAGAAGUAAUUUUGAUUAAAAGCUGUAGAGCGUUUGACAAGUUUAAAUAAAAGCAAUUUUUCUGAAGUGAUUUUGUAAAGCUGUUUGGCAAAUUUUUUUUUGAUGUUUGCAUAAAUUAAUAUUUUUAUUAAAAUUUAUUUUAAAAUAAUUAAAAUAUAAUUUAAAUUUGAAUUAAAAUUAAAAUUUUAAAAUUUUAAAAUUAUACAAAAUUUAAAAUUUAAUAUUUUGAUUUAAAAAAUAAUUUUAAAAUUUUAAAAUAUAAAAUAUAAAAUUUGAAUUUUCAAAUCUAAAUUUAAAUUUUAAAUUUCAAAGGUUAAAUUUAAAAUUUAAAAUUUAAAAUAAUUUUAAAUUUUAAAUUUUAAAAUUUAAAAUUUGAAUAUUUAAAGUAUAAAAUUUAAAAUUUGAAUAUUUGAAAUAUAAAAUUUAAAAUUUGAAUAUUUGAAAUAUAAAAUUUAAAUUUAAAUUUAAAAUUUAAAAUUUUAAUUUUAAAUUUUAGAUUUACUCGUACUGUGGGGGACUCA
rnacentral:lncRNA from 1 species